rnacentral:lncRNA from 1 species
GAUGAAGAAGAAGAGCCAUACUAACGUACAUUUUGACUAUGGAGGGUACUAUUCAGAAGGGAAUGAGUGGAUUUAUAAAAAUUCACUAUACGCUAUAUCGUUUAAGACGGCAUGUUUAGAGAAGAUAACUUAUUCGGUGCUAUUAGAUAAGAUCACUACGAAGGUUGGCCAGAAUGGAGUCCCUGGGAAUCUGAAACUGAGUUACAAUCUAUCUAAAGCUCGGAGAGAGACAUAUAUUGUAGAUGAUGAGGACGUAUACAUUUUUUUAACAGAAUGUGAUGAAGAGGGUCGUAUUCCAGUUUUGCAUGUGGAGCUAUUAAGUGACAAUAACCAGAGGGUGGAAGUGUUAGUACCGGAGCGUCGAAGUUCAGUUGGUGUGAAUUAUGUAAAGCUAGUGAAUGUGAAUGAAGUUUUGGAGAAUGAUGUGAAUGAAGUUUUGGAGAAUGAUGUGAAUGAAGUUUUGGAGAAUGAUGUGAAUGAAGUUUUGGAGAAUGAUGUGAAUGAAGUUUUGGUGAAUGAUGUGAAUGAAGUUUUGGUGAAUGAUGUGAAUGAAGUUUUGGUGAAUGAUGUGAAUGAUGAGAAUGAAGUUUUGGUGAAUGAUGUGAAUGAAGUUUUGGUGAAUGAAGAUAUGGUGAAUGAAGUGUGUCAGAAUGUGACAGGUAUGGAAGUUGUGGCUGUGGAAAGGUCGAUGGAUAACCAUUUGGAUGAAGAUGUGGAUGGUAUUUUUGAUUUUGAUGAAAGGUACUCCAAAGAAUAUAGAAUGGGAAGAUGGUACGGGUAUAGAACUUUAUCAAGAAUUUUGUUCUAAGGAAGCACUGUGGGAAUUGGUAAACAAAGCUGCAAAACAAGAAGUUUAUGGGGUUUUAACAGUUAAGUCUGACCCGUUGAGACUUAUGUUACGAUGCAAACAAUAUUCUCAAGGGUGUAAAUGGUAUUUACGAGUUGCGAGAACAAAGCAAUCAGAUUAUUGGAGUGUUAGAGUGCAUAGAAAGAUCCAUACAUGCUCGCGGUCUGUUGAGUCUACAAGCAAUAGUGUACAGAGAGGAACACCACGAUUAAUAGCAGCUGUUUUACAUGCUGACUUUCCAGGUAAUCU